UCCCAAGGGAGCUCGGUGUAUCAGAUCACCAU
rnacentral:piRNA from 1 species